AUGAUGGACUAUAGGACGGGACUGCUGCUUUUAACUAUCUGCUGGGCAGGUGUUGAUGGUCAGACUCUGACAGAAUCUGAUCCAGUGAUUAAAAAGCCUGGAGAAUCCCACAAACUGAUCUGUACAGCCUCUGGAUUCACAUUCAGUGACUACGCUAUGCACUGGGUCAGACAGGCUCCUGGAAAAGGACUGGAGUGGGUUGCAUUCAUCAGUCAACCAAGUGGUAGCAAACAAUACUACUCUCAGUCAGUUCAAGGCCGGUUCACCAUCUCCAGAGACAACAGCAGACAGCAGAUGUAUCUGCAGAUGAACAGUCUGAAGACUGAAGAUUCUGCUGUUUAUUAUUGUGCUCGA